GCCAAUGUUAAUAAAUUUUUCUUGCAUGAAAACAAUCUAAUUACCCAUGCUUCAGGAAAUCUUCCCAAGGCCUGCUCCUGCAAGCGCACUCUCCUGCUAUCAUCAGGUUGGCGCUUCAGGAGCAGGUUCAUGAUGCGGGCGAGAAUGUUGAUGAUCGUGUGCACCGCAUCGAUGACUGGACUGCAAACUACGUCGAAGCCUGGAGCGCGUUGGAGCUGCUGUAGCUGGCUGCUCCAGUCAGUUGCAUCGCAAGAGAAUGCCCUUCAUAGUCGGCUCCAGUGAAGAGCAGCUUGACGUUAACGAGGUGGUGGUGUCCAUUUGCAUCCGUAAUGUCUAUGUCGUGUACAAGUUCGUCUAUUAAUGGUUGAAGCAUGAAUCUGUACGAUAGAAGAG